rnacentral:rRNA from 1 species
GACGAACGCUGGCGGCGUGCUUAACACAUGCAAGUCGAACGGAAAGGCCCUGCUUUUGUGGGGUGCUCGAGUGGCGAACGGGUGAGUAACACGUGAGUAACCUGCCCUUGACUUUGGGAUAACUUCAGGAAACUGGGGCUAAUACCGGAUAGGAGCUCCUGCUGCAUGGUGGGGGUUGGAAAGUUUCGGCGGUUGGGGAUGGACUCGCGGCUUAUCAGCUUGUUGGUGGGGUAGUGGCUUACCAAGGCUUUGACGGGUAGCCGGCCUGAGAGGGUGACCGGCCACAUUGGGACUGAGAUACGGCCCAGACUCCUACGGGAGGCAACAGUGGGGAAUAUUGCACAAUGGGCGGAAGCCUGAUGCAGCAACGCCGCGUGCGGGAUGACGGCCUUCGGGUGGUAAACCGCUUUCGCCUGUGACGAAGCGUGAGUGACGGUAAUGGGUAAGAAGCACCGGCUAACUACGUG